rnacentral:snRNA from 1 species
GUGCUUGCUUUGGCAGCACAUAUACUUAAAUUGGAAUGAUACAGAGAAGAUUAGCACGGCCCCUGCGCAAGGAUGACACGCAAAUUUGUGAAGCGUUCCAUAUAAAC